CCUACGGGAGGCAGCAGUGAGGAAUAUUGGUCAAUGGACGAGAGUCUGAACCAGCCAAGUAGCGUGAAGGAUGACUGCCCUAUGGGUUGUAAACUUCUUUUAUAUGGGAAUAAAAUGUUCCACGUGUGGGAUUUUGUAUGUACCAUAUGAAUAAGGAUCGGCUAACUCCGUGCCAGCAGCCGCUGUAAUACGGAGGAUCCGAGCGUUAUCCGGAUUUAUUGGGUUUAAAGGGAGCGUAGGUGGAUUGUUAAGUCAGUUGUGAAAGUUUGCGGCUCAACCGUAAAAUUGCAGUUGAAACUGGCAGUCUUGAGUACAGUAGAGGUGGGCGGAAUUCGUGGUGUAGCGGUGAAAUGCUUAGAUAUCACGAAGAACUCCGUUUGCGAAGGCAGUUCACUGGACUGCAACUGACACUGAGGCUCGAAAGUGUGGGUAUCAAACAGGAUUAGAUACCCGAGUAGUC
rnacentral:rRNA from 1 species